GAUGAACGCUAGCGGCAGGCUUAACACAUGCAAGUCGAGGGGCAGCGCGUUGUAGCAAUACAAUGGCGGCGACCGGCGGAAGGGUGCGUAACGCGUGAGCAACUUAGCCCGUCACAGGGGGAGUAACCGGUGGAAACGCCGACUAACACCCCGUAACACAUGUCGCUGCAUGGCGAUAUGUUGAAAAACUCCGGUGGUGACGGGAUAGGCUCGCGUGCCAUUAGCUAGUCGGCGGGGCAACGGCCCACCGAGGCGACGAUGGCUAGGGGUUCUGAGAGGAAGGCCCCCCACACUGGGACUGAGACACGGCCCAGACUCCUACGGGAGGCAGCAGCGAGGAAUAUUGGACAAUGGAGGCAACUCUGAAU
rnacentral:rRNA from 1 species